rnacentral:rRNA from 1 species
AUUGAACGCUGGCGGCAGGCCUAACACAUGCAAGUCGAGCGAGCGGCGGACGGGUGAGUAAUGUAUGGGGACUGCCCGAUAGAGGGGGAUAACUACUGGAAACGGUGGCUAAUACCGCAUACUACCGGCUAACCCAUAUGGGUUUAUCUAGUAGGGGGGGUAAAGGCUCACCUAGGCGCUGAGCUCUAGCUGGUCUGAGAGGAUGAUCAGCAACACUGGGACUGAGACACGACCCAGAGUCCUAAGGAGGCAGCAGUGGGGAAUAUUGCACAAAGGGCGCAAGCCUGAUGCAGCCAUGCAGCGUGUAUGAAGAAGGCCUUAGGGUUGUAAAGUACUUUCAGCGGGGAGGCGUUACCCGCAGAAGAAGCACCGGCUAACUCCGUGCCAGCAGCCGCGGUAAUUC